GCCAUACUACCAACAUCUGCCUCUGAUGUCAUGGGUCCAAAUAAUAAAAUAGGAGGCAUUACUUUUGGAGCAGCCGUUGUAUAUGCCUGUAUUUUUUAAAGAGGGAAAAUGCUUUCGAACGAAUGGGCAAAAUGGUCUUCAGUACCAGGAUCAGCAUUAGCAUAUUGUGAAAAUUAGUAGAUAUUUCAGAAGCCUGACCUUAAAUCUACUUAAAACUAAGCUGACAGAUUUUUUUAUCUGGAAGACAGUAAAUGCUCUGAAACCCUGUCGAGAGUGUCAAGUGGCUACUCAAAAAUACCCAUGGAUUCAUGGGUUUGUUCGGCCUGGGAAGUUCAAGUGAAGGCAAACCUGCGAUUAAGGCACACCAGUAAGGCCUCUUGGUUCAGAGAGUGCAACUGUGAAAGCUGAACCCUCCCAAGCAGAGCAAUGUGGAGCAGAGGAAGCACUGCAAACUCUAAAAGGUAUUUGGCUACACUGUACUACCCACUUUUCCCGAAGCAAUGAGUGCUAUCUUGCUUUCCACAAAAACAGCUCCUCUCCAGGUUCUUGCAUGCUUGCAUUCCCUCAUUCAGGGACACCUGGAUUCUCUCAGUACCUCUCAUUACUUCCCAAUCUUCAUCAGAAGAUUAUGUUAAUUUAGAUUAUGA
rnacentral:lncRNA from 1 species